rnacentral:lncRNA from 1 species
UACUUUUGUAUUUGACCACGUAAGACAAUUGGAUGGGCACCUAAUAUAUUUCCUGGUACACUCCUAUUGUGGUUGGUCUUCUUUAUCUGUAUGUCUAUCUUGUUCAGUCUGCGCUUCAGCUUUGCAGGAAAAUAGAAAUUUUUUUUUCUGUGCUUGUUUAUGCUAACCAUGGUGCCUACAACUGCAUCUGCUGCCUUUACACGGGACUGCAAACCUGUUUUUUUCAACCUUCUGUUUUAUGGGUGUGCACACCCAUAAAUCUCCUGUGGCUGGGUUAAGGGAACAUACAAGCAGCUCUUCAGCAUUAAGAAUGUGAUGGGAGAGAUUCAGGUAGAUUUGAACUGCCAUCAUCAAUCAAGACCAAGGAGAAGGCUGCUUUCCAGGAUGUACACAUGGCCUCUGUUUGCUGUUGCUGUUUUGCUUCUUUUAAGAGGUGAACCAAUAUAUGUAUGUCUGUUUCUACUGUCACUUGCAGCUCAACAGAACCCUGUAAUAUACAUGAACAAGUUUCUGGAAGUUAAGAGAGAUGAGAAGUUCACCAAGUCACCAACCUGACUGUUACCAUGAGGAAUUCCUUUACCGGAGAACAUGCUGUCACAAUAGGUUAAAUAUAUGUUAUACAGGUCCAAAGAAUAUUCAUGUUCAAUCUUAGUUAAAAAUAAAUAUUUAUAGUUAGUUAAAUUAGGUAUAGCUUUUAUUUCCCACAUUAUAAUUACCUGUAUUUUUUAUACUUCAUGUAACAUCACCAAAAAUUUUAGUAUUAGAUAAAUCAAAAAAGUUAUUUGUACAAGCUUAUAUAAUAAAAAUUUAGAGAUAUGGCUGUCUUGUUUUUUCAUUUUGCUCUCAUAUAACAUGAUUACUGUGCUAUUACAUAAUAGUAUGUACCGUACAAGGGACAAUUCAAGGUAAAAUAUACUAUGUCAAUAUUCUGUUUUAUGAAUCAUUUGUCUCCACUUUAUUUGUAGAAUGGGAAGUUUUGUUCCAAUUUUUAUUAUUUUCUGAAUUUUAUCUUACCCUAACCAAAUAUUUUGCAAAGAAAAUUGGGAAUUUUUGCCUCAUGAAACUCUUUUCUCUUCUCUGUCUCCCUAUGCCCCGCAUCAAAAAACCUUAAUUUACUUUGCUUUACUGAGUAGAUUCAAGAUCUCUCUUUCUCAGCUAAAAGUAAUAAUAAAUAAAUGUUUUCUGCAUCUAGUGCAAGUUAUGUGCUGGGAAUCUAAAAUAUCCCAGAUUAAGGUCCAAUAAAUCAGAGUAUGUAUUUGCCUGACACAAAAGAAAUAUAUACAGAUUGCAUUCUGCUCCCAAAUGCAGAACUCCCUUUUUGUUUGAAAUUAUUUUUUAGGAAGUUGAAAGAAAAGAAAUGGUAAAAUAUUUUAACAUUUUAAAUUUACUUCAUCGUGAUUAUUUCACUUAUUAACAUUUAUAAUACAUCUCAGGGGAAGAGGUUGUAUAAUUGUUCACUAUCUGUAGUUCAUGAGACCUAGGAAAGUGUAUAUAUAUAGUGAUGAAAAACAAUUUUAUCUGAAAUUUGUGCUGGAAGUAUAAGUGAGCUUAAAAAUGUAAUUGUUUUUUCAUAUGUAGUUGAAAAAACAUAUGGGUUGAUUGAUCGUGGCACCCAAGAAGAAAUAUCUAGGUCAUAAUCCCUGGAACCUGUGAAUGUUACUUUAUUUGGAAAAAGUAUCUUUGCAGAUGUAAUUCAUCUAAGGAUCUUGAAAUGAGGAGAUCAUCCUGGAUUACCCAGGUGGGCCCUAAAACCAAUGACUAGUGUUCUUGUAAGAAAAAAGAAGACUGAAACUUAGACAAAACAGGAAAAGACACAGAAAAGAGAUGUGAAGAUAGAAGCAGAAUGGAGAACAGUGUGGCCAUAAGCCAAGGAAUGCCAACCCCCACCAGAAGGUGGAAAAGGCAAAAAAGGGAUUGUCUCUUGCAGCUUCCAGAAGGUGUGGAGUCCUAAUGACACCUUGAUUUUGGACUUUCGGCCUCCAGAACUUUGUGAGAAUAAAUUUUUGUUGUUUUAAGCAACACAUUUUGUGGUGACUUGUUACAGGAGCCACAGAAAACUAGUACACAGUAUGAGCUCAAUAAUAUGACUAUGUGUUCAUCAAAUCCAUGAGAUGACAAAUUCCUUGAGGCAAGGACCACUAAGAUUUUGUUGAUGGUUAUGUUUUACACAGCUAGCUUGAAUGAGGCAGAGUAUCUAGGCACAUGGCUGACCAGAAAAAAUACUGUUUCCCUGUCUCCUUUGAAGCUGGAUGUAGCCCAGGGGCUAUUUUGAGCCAAAAAGAUAAAAGCACAUAUAAAGUGGCAACUACAGGGAUACACAUUCCUAAAGAGGAGGGAGCAGUGUGAUGGAUGAACAGGAGACACCAACUUACUUAGGAAGUGUAUUUGAUUUGGUGCAAGAUGAGUGUAGAUUGAGAGUAGAGGCAAUGCCUAGAGUAACAGUAACAGAAAAGUGUUAUACAACACCUGAAUGCCUACAAAGACUUUCCUAUAAGAGGAGUUAUGCUACUGUUUUCUUCUUAUGUUACAGACAAGGUAGAGUUUUGCCACAACCAAACUUAAUUCUAACUAAUAUACAAGAUAACUGGGCCAGAUGUGUUAUGAGUUUGGUGAAUUUAUAUAAAUUUUUUGACAAGUAUUUUAUAUCAAGUUGCAUUCUUGGAGAAAAUGAGAAGAGGAAUUUACUAGCAAUAUUCAUGAAUUGAAAUAUUUUUGUACUCUGCCUUCCACUCACCUGCACAUCAAGAGAUAAGAAAUGAUCUAUUUAUAUAAAAUGAAUUGAAAUAUAUAUUUUAUUUAUAUUUCUCCACCUUCUGCAUAAAAUAUUUUUAUUGAAGGCUUUUAUGGUGUUCAUUACAAUGCCUAAAAGUCAAGGUAUCAACUCUAAUUUCUCAUUUAUUAUACUACAAUGUAGAUUUUUGUUGAAAAUAACUGUAAUGACAUCAAUGCAUAUCAUUUUGACCCUCGAGAAUUAAAUUUUUUGAUGUUAAUUAUUCAUAAACACACCUUGUCUGAGCUCAUUUGAAAAAUUAAAAAAUGAAAUCAUGUCUCAGCAAUGUACCCAGGGUACCUGCUACCUCUGUAAAACAUUCUGACUCUCUAAAAUUUAAUUAUUGCUUCCUUACUUAUAUCUACAUGCUACCCACUCAAAUAAUAUUUGUUGCAUUGAUUUCUCUCUUUCAAUUAAUCCCUGCAAACAGGUUUCUUCCAGAAAUAUUGGGUGAUUGUGCAUAUUGUUAACUGAAAUAAAUUCUGUAUCCUGCAUUUCACCUUGUUGCCAUUAUGAAAUGUCAACCAAUCACAUUACUGACAGAUGUUGUUUCAUUCUACAUUUCCAUAGAUCUAAUAAUAUCUUUCUUUUUAAUUGUCUCUUCUUGAGACAAUUGUGUCCAGGUGAAUGAUAGGGAUAAGACAACUAAUUGACACCUAUUAGUUUAUGUGGAAAGGCCUGGGGCAUAAGUAAUCAAGCAAAUUUUGCACUUUCUCUUUCAUUUUUCCCCUCACUUAAGACUCAUAAUUAUAUUCUAAUCCUCAAGAUUCAAAUCAGUGAAGAAUUUCUUGAUCUGGUCAAGCAAAAUUAAUCAUCCCUCUUUUUGUUUCAUGACUGAAUGUAACAGUAGCACUCUUUUUAUAAAUUCUACUUUUGUGUGAAAAAUUGAAGAAAAAGUUUUAAUACAUGGUAGUUUCUAAAACCUACUGACAUUCUUGAAAAACUCCA